UCUGGCUGCACCUGCCAAUACAAUACUGGGAACGAUGGUAUGUUUCCUUUGACACCAGAUGUGGCCAUGGUCACUGGAGAUCUGCAGAUUUGGAAGAUUUGAAAAUUUGCAACUCUACCCACCCCCUCCCAAGUCCAUUUGACCAGUCCAAAGAAUAACAGUGAUUUGGCCGGGGCUCCACUCAGCUUGUUCACAGAUGUCCUUAUGCACAGGAAGCAUCCGACAUGCCCCUGCUAAACCCCUCCAACCCACCUACCCCCAUCCAGCCUUAAUACACCUUGCCUGAGUUAGUUCCAAAAGGAGGCACUUU